CCUACGGGGGGCAGCAGUGAGGAAUAUUGGUCAAUGGACGCGAGUCUGAACCAGCCAAGUAGCGUGAAGGAUGACUGCCCUAUGGGUUGUAAACUUCUUUUAUAUGGGAAUAAAGUGUUCCACGUGUGGGCUUUUGUAUGUACCAUAUGAAUAAGGAUCGGCUAACUCCGUGCCAGCAGCCGCGGUAAUACGGAGGAUCCGAGCGUUAUCCGGAUUUAUUGGGUUUAAAGGGAGCGUAGGUGGAUUGUUAAGUCAGUUGUGAAAGUUUGCGGCUCAACCGUAAAAUUGCAGUUGAAACUGGCAGUCUUGAGUACAGUAGAGGUGGGCGGAAUUCGUGGUGUAGCGGUGAAAUGCUUAGAUAUCACGAAGAACUCCGAUUGCGAAGGCAGCUCACUGGACUGCAACUGACACUGAGGCUCGAAAGUGUGGGUAUCAAACAGGAUUAGAUACCCUGGUAGUC
rnacentral:rRNA from 1 species